rnacentral:lncRNA from 1 species
UUCUCCAAACUCUUUCUCCUCUCUCAAGCGAAUUUGAGCUCACUACACCCUCAAACUAGAAGAACUAUGUAGUAUAUAUUCUUGGUCUUCAAGAGCCAAUCUCUCUACUCAAUAAUGUGUUUCUUUGUUGUUAAAAGUCAACAAAAGAAGCUCCUAGAUCCUCCAAAAGUUGGUACAAAUUGUUCUUUUGUGUCUUGUCCAAGAUAAAGAAAGAAGCAAGAAGCAUGCAAGUUGGCAACUUGCAGCUGCCAGGAAUCCCUUGGAUGAAUCCCUGGAGGGAUUCUCCAAGGAAUUGUGCAGAGCAACUAUGAAAACACCAUUCUGGAUGCCAUCUGCGGUUUC